CAUAAAGCCAUGGCAGGAUUCUAAGGACUGACAUGGUCUCUGCAUUGUAGCGGGUGCACUCUGCUGGUCUGUUGAGAAUUAACUCUUUGAGACCAGAGUAGGGUCAGAGAGCCCUUGGAGGGUGGAGGGCUACAGAGAUAACCCAGAGAUGAGGGUGGCUUGGACCACAGUGGCAGCAGUGCAGAGAGGGAAAAGGAGUUUGGGUUUUGAAGGUAUUCCAAAGGUAGAAUUGGAUGGGUGCCAGUUCCAGAUCACCAUCCGUAGGCUCGCUGUCCUGGAAACCUUUCUUCCUCUUCAUGAAGGCACCUUCCCUUCACUUUUGCUUCAAGUUUCCAUUCCACAGAGGGACAGAAACUCAAUCUCAGUCCAUCCAGGAUCCCAUCCUUCAGUUCUGGGGGUUGUGGCAGCCAAGUCAUGGGUGGUGUGGGUGGGGAAUCUGGUCCCCUGUCACCUUGUCCAUCUCCACUGGCAUCUGCAGAGGCCAUCUCACUCCAGGAUGGUCCACAUGGGGCACAGCGUGUCCCACUCCACAUCUAGCUUCCCUUCAGCUGCCUCCACACCCUGCUGCCUUGUAACUGCCAGGUGGUCUCAGGCCUCCUUCCCAAGCAGCCCCCAGCAGCUUUCUUGCUGUUCUCACUGAGCUGGACACCUCUCAGGAGCAAGAAGGAGCUAUGCCCUUUGCUCCCAGAACCCCAAACCACCCUCAGUGUCUCUAUCAUCUUUGUCCAGUCCAGGGCAGCAGUCCCUGUUCAAGCACCUCACCUUCCUGCCUGUCCUCUGAUUUCUCCCAUCCCUGACCCCACCCUGGUCUGUGGAAUAUUCCCAGAGAAACUCUGGCUCUGAUGUGUGCACUUCCCUCCACACCAUCCCCGGCUCAGCUCUCAGCUCCGAGGCUGCCCCACAAGGUUAUGCAGGUGUUUAGUGAGCCAGUGGGGGUGAAAUUGGCACAUUGCUUGUCCAGGCUUGGGCCUGCAUACAAAGAGGUGGAGAGGCGCCUUUUCCUCAUUUCCACAAAGGCAUCUCUGAGCCACCAUGGGCCUUGUGUGCUCACAAGCCUCUGGAAGGUCAAAAGCAAGGAGUUGGCUCUUGCUCUUCUGUGUCCUGUUGUAAUAGUCCCCACUAAGAGCAAUGGCAAGCUCCGGCCUAGCUGCCUGAAUGAGGGGAGGUUUAGAGGGGAAAUUACACUGGUUCAUAAAGAAAAUAGUAACCCCUUGCUUUGCUGGGAAGUCCCUCUGAAAGGGAAGGAAUGAUGGACCUUACCCCAGCACCCAUGACCUGGGCCCCAAGAAGCUCACCAGUGACAAUUUUGACUUUCUUUGUUAAAUAGACAUUAC
rnacentral:lncRNA from 1 species